AUUUUCUUGCUGCAAGAAGCCAGACGGACAGAUAGAGUGAGACGGGGGCAAAAAGACAGACAAAGAUAGACACAGAGAGAGAAACAAAGAGACAGAAACAGGAAGGGAGUCUUCAGCCCACUUCUCCUCUGCCUGAUUGUUGUGUAGUUUAAGGUUAAUGUAGGUGUGGAAUGUUGCUGGUCUUCUCAAAAUCUCAGUAGUGAAGAACAUGCAAAUGAUCUCAACCAAACCCACUGAACAACCAAAAGCUGCAAAACUCAACUCUGAACACCAGAAGCUUCCCCAUACGGGCGUGUCUGUGUUUGAGACGGACAGGCGUGUCUGUGUUUGAGACAGACGGGCGUGUCUGUAUUGGAGACAUUUUGGCGUGGCUGUAUUUGCGACAGGCGUGGUCUGCAAAACUCAACUCUGAACACCAGAAGCUUCCCCAUGUUUCUCUCCUUCCUUCUUCCCCAUCGAAUUAAACAUGCUCCUGAGGUACCAGUGCUCCUGUCCCUUACUUCUUUCUGGACCUCUGAGCAGAGCUCUUUUCUAUUGGAAACCGCUCGCUGCUGCUGAGGAAGGUUCCACAUAAACAGCCUAAAGACCCAUGAGGUUCCUGUGGAGGAUAAACUGAAGAACAAUGAAGAUGGAUUUGGAGUUAAAUUUAUAUAAACAGCCACCGGCUUGUUCAUCAGGUACAAACUUACACUUAUAAAGAACAUAUUCA